rnacentral:rRNA from 1 species
UACGUAGGUGGCAAGCGUUGUCCGGAGUUAUUGGGCGUAAAGAGCGUGUAGGCGGCCAGGUAGGUCUGCUGUGAAAACUCGAGGCUCAACCUCGAGACGUCGGCGGAAACCAUCUGGCUAGAGUCCGGAAGAGGAGAGUGGAAUUCCUGGUGUAGCGGUGAAAUGCGCAGAUAUCAGGAAGAACACCCGUGGCGAAGGCGGCUCUCUGGGACGGUACUGACGCUGAGACGCGAAAGCGUGGGGAGCGAACAGG